UGAGUACUGGCUAACCCUUAUGGCCUUAUUCUAGAUUUCAAUUUUUAGAUCUAGUUCUACACUUCUCACUGUGAUAGAGAGACCGAUAGGUGAGAUCGGAGAUGACUCAGAUAGUCAGACGAGAGUCCUCACUCCUCAAGUUCAAGUGUUCAACAGAGAGAGUGAGAGACAACGAUCCAUGAUCGAUCUCCCGUGCCGAGUCGCCGACUGACGAGUCACGAGUGACGUCUGUGUAGCUUAUUCUUCCCUACAGGUAGCUUCUUCUUCUCUACACUUCGAUCGAUCGACCACGCCGAUCUACCUUUUUCCCUUCGUUUUCUCUUCCUUUUUCACUCUUAACUAUGUUCUGCACUUCUGCUAUGUUCUAUUUUUGUUUUCAGUUUGUUUCUGCUAUGUUCUGGAUUUUUUUUAAAAUUUAUGUUCUUAAUUUAUUGGAUGAAAUCUUUUGUUGGGGACUUGGGGUUACUAAAUUUCUUCAAUUUUGGUAAAACCCUGCAAUUUCGGCAAAGAAGAGAAGCAAUUUCUGCAAUUUCUUUUGUUGGAGUUACUAAAUUUCUUCAAUUUUGGUAAAACCCUGCAAUUUCGGCACAGAAGAGAAGCAAUUUCUGCAAUUUCUUUUGUUGCUAAAACCUUGAAAUCUUUUGUUGGGGUUACUAAAUUUCUACAAUUUCUUAAUUUUUGAUUUGUGAAGCAAAUUGUUUUUUUUAAAAUUUGGGAUGGCAGGGCAGUUUUGACCAGGUUAUUUGAGAACCAAAUUCUGCUUUAGUGCUACUGUGUUUGGUCGAAAUUUCAAACUUGUGGACUUGUGGUGGGUAUUUGAUAUAUAUGCAGUUACACAGACAAGUAUAGCUCUUGAAGAGCAUAAAAUUGUAGAUACUAGAUUAAGAUAAACCAUUUUUAGCAUGUUUCUUCAAUUAAUGCUUGUCAAAAUUAUUCAAAAUGAAAUGUGAUAUGACACUGGCACAUUGCUAAGUGCUGAACUGCUGAUAUUUGUGUUGAUAAAUAAGAUUUUAUAGACAAAUAAUCACAGUGUGUUACUGAAUUACCUUAUUCACUUACAAAUAAUCUUUUUGUUUGUAGAGUUCUUAUGGAAACUAGCCAUUUUAUCGCAAACAAAGAAAAUGUUGCAUAGUCAUAUCAUAUGCAUUGGUUAUAGAAGCAAUGAACUUAGACUCAGGUGCACACACUGUAUAAACUGUAUAUAUGAAGUUGUCCAACUGACUUGUUUAAAUUUCAAGAGUACUUAUAACCUGAAAGCCAGUAGAGCAAGUACUCUAUAAUUAGUUGUUUAAAUUUCAAGAGUACUUGUGAAUCAGUCUAUGUAUGUUUCAAUCUGCAACUUCAAUAAUUGAGCUUGUCUGCUUUUUAUCUAAAACUUACUUGUUAUUACUUGGCUAAGAAUUAAAAAUCAGUCAUCCAAAUGGAAUAAACUGUCUAGUAUAUUAAUCAUGGUGUGUAGACCUGGCAAAAUCAUGGUAGUCUCAAUUAUAAGAUGGUCCAUACUCCAUAUAUAAUGAGUUAAUGACACAUUUAUGAAUCUUUUUGUACAUGGAUGUCAAGCUAUUCUUUCACAGUUUCACUAGCAGAUGGGAUGCAAGUAUGCAUUUGGACUUUGGACUUUGGAGCUUAUUUAUGUUGAUGCCUUGAUGGUGACAUACUGACAUGUCAAUAGUCAAAUGAAAUUAAUAGUCUUGCUGAGUUGCUGUCUUGGUUUGAAAUUUGAAUGUGUACUACUGUACUUUAUGGCUUUAUCAUUUAUCAAUCAUUGUAUGUAAAUACUAAAUUGUAAUAUGUUAGUUGUUACAACAACUAAACUUUCCCUAGAAAGUGGAGAGUCGGAGACAGGACAGAAUGAUUGAUUACGAUUAAAAUAUUAUUGUGAAAUUUGUGAUGUACAGGGUUUAAAAAAAAGAAAUGGAAAAGCCCGCGGGCCGGCCUGGCCGGCCCAACCCGGGCCACGGGCUGCCUAAUUUUAGCCCACCAAAACCCAGGCCAUUUUGGCCCGGCCUGCCGAUGGCUCGGCCCGUUUUCCAAGUCUACUUGUAAUUAUUGUGCUGGCAAUCACCUGAGUAAUCAAUGCACCAUCAGUCUUGGGUCGGUCCAGUAUGGGGGUAAUUACCUCACCAGUAUGCAUAUGAUAGUUAUCAUCAAGUUUGUGGGUAUCACCCGGAUUCUUCAUGUAGCUAUAAUUAUCAAGAUCAAUACUCUACUCCAAAUCCAACAUACACGCCAGAAUUCUCAUAUCAACCUCCAUUAAAAGAAGAAAAGUCAAAGUUGGAGGAAUUGUUGUCAAAGCUCAUAGCAAACCAAGAGGAGAGGAGGAUAAACAAGAGCGAUCAAUUCAGAAUCAAGAGAUAUCAAUUCAAAAUCUGCAGAACCAGAUGGAUUAAAUACUUAAAGCCUUGAACAACUGUCCUCAAAAUAAUUGGUGUUAUGACGAGGAUUCCGAGAUUGAUGAAGUGCCCGAGCCAAAUCUACAACUGGAUGAGAUACAAGAUGUUGAAAAAGAGGAGAUAAGUGGGGAUAAUGAAAAUAAGGUCGGUGAAGAACUAACUAUGAGUACCAACGAGGAUGAGCCGAUGUUAUUAGUCCCCCAAGUUCCUUCUCCACCAAAGUUCAAGGAUCCGGUUAGAUUUUCAAAACCAUGCCCGCUAGGUAGUCAUGUCGUCGGCAAUGCUCCUUGUGACGUAAAAGUGAGUACAACUUCAAAGCCAUGGUGCAAUGAGCUGGAGAAGAUAGAAGAAGAGAUUGUUGUGUCUGACAAGCUUCAAUGCCCUAAUGUGAUCACAGACACAAUGGAGAAAACACCUAGAUGUUGGAAGUACUUGAAUGUGAUCUUAUCUAAAGAAGGUAUACUAGGUGACUGUAUUGCAUUGGCCAUCACAAAUGGGAACCUACCAAAAACUAUAUUAUUUCCGAUGGAUGGAGGGUUCCUCAAUUACCGAAGAGGAAUUGGAUAGUGUUGACCAAACAAAGUCGGGCUUACGACGUUAAAACUAGCACUACUUGGGAGGCAACCCAAGCUCUAAACUCUUUCUCUUUUAGUUAUUAUUUAAAUCUUAGUUUAUAAUUUAGUUUAAAUAUGCAUUUUUUUAUAGAAGAUUGACUACAUCUUUGGAAGAGUUGAAGAUAACUCAAGAAAAAUCAUUCAUGCAGCUACUGCCCGUAUAGCGCGGGCCGCGCUACACACUACUUAAUCUCAGCGCACUAGCAUUCCAGGCAGCCACUGUCCUUACAGCGCGGGCCGCACUACGAAAUGCCUAGGCCCAGCGCGGGGCGCGCUAGCAUCUCAGGAAGAAACUGCAACCAUAGCGCAGACCGCGCCACUUCGCCGAUCUGACAGCGCGGGACGCGCUUAUGAUGCCUCAUGCUACUGACUGCCUAGUGUGGGCCGCGCUACACAAUGUCUAUACCAAGCGCGGGGCGCGCUAUCAGUCCAGAAAUCACUGUUUGCCUAGUUCGGGGCGCGCUACUCAAGGGCUAUACCCAGCGCGGACCGCGCUACUCAGGAAUUUUAGGCACUGAAUGGAUUUAAUUGACGUGUCUCAGAUUUGAACAAAGCCAAUUCUCCUUAAUACAUGCAACUUCUCCACUUCUCCUACACCUAUUACACUUCCAAUACUCCAUAACCUUACACCAUCCUUACCUCUCCUUCUCCUUUUCAAUUUCUAUUCCCAUUAAACCCAUCCAUCCCCAACUUCCAAUCCACGUGGUUUUCCAUUUCCAAUCCAAGUUGGUUUUCAAUUUCCGCGCCGCUCAGAAAUCUUAGGCGUUAAAAGUUGUUUAAUUGCAAUGUUAGUCAAGUCCAACUCAAGUGUGGUUCCCAAUUUAUUCCAAUGUGUCUGGCCUAUUCUUUAGACUUAGCAGACAAGGAGGAACAUGCUGUAUUUUUAUGGAAGUCCUCUCUUUUAAUUUUUCCUAUCUUAGCCAUUGAGGACAAUGUCUGUUUUAAGUUUGGGGAACAUUUUAGUGUCGUAUUACAUAUAGUUAGUUAUUUACAUUGUAGUUCAUAUAGUUACAUUUAGUUUUUGCAUUUAGUUUCUUGAAAAAAAAAAUUACUAUGUUUAUAUAGCAUUUAGUACAUCUUGCAUGAGUCCAGCGGUUUGAUAUUUACAGUUUAUUUUAGCCAAUGAUGAGAUUGGAAUUGGGUAGACAAGUAUAAUACUGAUUAUUAGAGCGUUGAUGUGAUUUCUUGUUAUGAAUUGAGUCUUUUUCUGUUUGAAACUGGUAUAAUAAGGAUAGCACAGUAAAAACAACUUGUUGAUUGCUUGAGUUUAAGUUGAUACAUAAUGGGACUCUAAAGGAUAAUGCUAGUUUGAAUGAAAGAAUGACAAGAACAAGUAGUGAUGGAUAAAGUUAGAUAAGAACCUAAGUUUGGGGGAAUAUUUGGGGUAUAUAAGCUAUAAAAAUAAUUAAAAAAAAAUAUGAAUAAACACUGUGGCGUGCUUGUCUAGUUUUGUGGCCUUCGUUACUUGAGUAAGUAAGCCCGAGGGGAUUGUCUUUAGACCUAGCGCCCUAAGGUCUUAAUGGUCUGGGAGUCGUUGGUCGAAAACUCGUUAAGGUAGCAUUGAAAAGCCUAAGGAAAUAAGACAUUGCAUAGCUAUGUGUAUAUAAACCAAAAGAAAAAAAAUGAAUUAAACGGGAAAGAAGAGCAAAAAUCCCUCGUAGAUCAAAAAUGAAGCAUAAGUAUCCCAUGUUGACCUUCGAUAUUGGUAAUUAUUUAAUUUUAGCUGGAUCUAGCUUGUUUUUGGAUUUUUUGAGUUUACACUGUAUGGUGCCUUCGAAGAGACUUAUUAUGUGUUAAAUUUGAUUUUAUAUCAGUUAAUAUUGUUGUGGAGCACAUACGCACUAUAUUAGUGAUAACAGUUUAAAAUUUGAUGAUUGAUUGAGAAGUUAAUGAUUUGUUUUGAUAUGAUGUAUUAUCAUGUUUACUUGAUUUCUCUAAGGCCGGUUGGAUAGACUUGUUUCUGUCAUUACUGCUGGAUUUGUAGGCAUUUAGAUUAGUUGCAUUGCAUAGCAUUGUUAUUUUGUGUUUUUGCUUGAGGACAAGCAAAGGUUUAAGUUUGGGGUAUUUGAUAAGUAGGUUUUAUACCUACUUAUCUGGUAUAUGUUACUUGAAUUAUUUGCUUAUAUUCAUGCUUUUUAGUUACUUUUCAUACAUGUUAUGUUAUUUUGUAGGCUAUGACAUGACAUUGGUAUAAAGAAGCAAGGAAAAGCAAUUCGGACAUCUUUUGGACUAAAAUACACAAGCAAAUGCAAGAAGGGAAUAUUGAAGGACUUUUAAUACUAUGUUGGUUGCAUGUUCUUGGCUUGGAACGUGGAUUUUAUGAUAGCUCUACUUCUUAGCUUUUCGGAACAUCUUGAAUCAUCCCAAUCGGAGUUCGGAUGCGAGAGUUAUGGCCUUUUUAUCAAUGAAGAUCUAAGCUAAGAGUUGUCAUAUUUGCCAUUUACAUAGCAUCUACUUCAAACCCGAUUUCCUCUUUGAUCCAAUCUGAAUCUGUUAAUUCUCAAAGAAUGAAAGUUAUAGAUCUCGUCGAUAUCUUUGAUUUGAUAGGUGGCAGGCCCCAUAACUCUUAGCGGAUCAAACGUUAUGCCUGUUUUACCAAAGGAAGUCGCAACAGAAAAUAGAGUAGCGCGGACCGCGCUAGGGGCGCGCUAGGCCACCAGAAACUCUGCCACUGUAGCGCGGGGCGGCGGGAAAAGAGUUAAAAUGGGUUAUUUGAUGUCCAAUUUGAGCUAGAAUAGGAUUCUUAGUUGCCUAACUUGCUAGGCUGUCCAUUAGAACUAUAAAUACUUGAGUUUAACUUAGAUUGGGAGGCUAGUUCUAAGACUCCAUAAAAUCCCUCUUGGAAUAGAUUUCUAUCAACUUAUUCUUUACUUUCUUUCUUAGAUUAGGAACCCUAGAUUAGAUGAGAUUUUGAGAUUGAAGCAACUGGGAGACCAUUGAAGAUCAAGAGCAGGAGCUUGAGGAAGAUGGAGAUUUGCUGACAACAGAUUCAAUUCUUUUCUUUACUCUUAUUCUUAUCUUUUAAUGUGUAUUCAAGUGUGGAUUCUUAGUUUUAAUUCAAUGAACUAAUUCUUUGUUUGAGAUUACAAUGGAUCUUAUUAUGUAGUUUAUUUUAAUACGUUUCGCUAUCAAUUACUAUGUUCUAUUGUGAGAAUUGUCUAUUGUGGUUUGGACUUAAUUGUUUAAUUGAUUGGCCAUCAAUUACCAUGAUAAUCUAUAUGAACUCGAGAGAUGAAGUUUAGAUUUAGAUCUGAUCAUGAUGGCAUGUGUUUGUGAUUUCUGCAUAGAUGGAAUUCAUGAUUCGUGUUUAGGAUAGAGAUAUGCCUUUACGACAUAUGUAAUCUUAUAGAGAACUUGUGCUUUAAAUCUUUUUUAAUUGUAAUUCACAUAGAGAUAUAGUGGAUUAGUUAAUUAGGGUGUCUUGCUUAAUUCUAUCAUCUGUGGAUUUAAGUGAGUAUGGGUAUUAUGCGUCGAGAGGUGGUUUUAUCUGCUUUAGUGUUCUUGAUUAACAAUUCAGGAUAGAAAAUAAUUGAUGAGAAGUGUGUUAACUUAAUGAAGCAAUAAGUGAAGUUGUGAUCUUAAAUCUCCGUAAUCUAAUUUUUAAUUAGUAGUAAUUAGAAUUAGUUUACUUAUAAAUUGAAAUUCAUUCGUUUAAAUAAGAUUGAGUUGGUUACGGGUUAGUACUUGGUGAUUUUUAUUAAAUAAUUCUCUCUGGGAACGAUACUCAACUUAUCACUUUAUUACUUGUUGACCACGUAUACUUGCGUGUUGUGCGUAAUUAGAUUUUACCAAAUAAUUCAUUAUUAUAUCCAGUGAACAAUUGUUUUGCUCACUCUUGCAUAUUUAUAUACUCAUUGCAGCUAAAGUUGAGAAGGUAGACGAGCCUUCAACUAGCAAAGGAAAGGGAAAAAUGUACAAGUGAUGCUGAGUUGUACUUUUGAUUACUGUUAUGAUCAUAAAUUUUUAAUAAUGAUGUAAUGUGAUAAUUUAAUUUCGCAUUUGAAUGAUGUUUUAAGGUUAUAUUAACUGGGAUGUUUUUGGAUUAAAUGAUGUAACCCUAUUGAAAGGGAGGAUUAUGGUUUAAAUAUUAUUUUUUUGGGUAGAUAGUAUGAAUGUAUGGAUAGUGG
rnacentral:lncRNA from 1 species